rnacentral:rRNA from 1 species
UACGUAGGGUGCGAGCGUUAAUCGGAAUUACUGGGCGUAAAGCGUGCGCAGGCGGUUUUGUAAGCCAGAUGUGAAAUCCCCGGGCUUAACCUGGGAAUGGCAUUUGGGACUGCAAGGCUCGAGUGCGGCAGAGGAGACUGGAAUUCCUGGUGUAGCAGUGAAAUGCGUAGAUAUCAGGAGGAAUACCGAUGCGAAGGCAGGUCUCUGGGCUGACACUGACGCUCAUGCACGAAGCG